UAGCUCAGUCGGUUAGAGUGCUGGUCUGUCACGCCAGAAGUCGCGGGUUCGAACCCCGUUUUCCCCGAUCAUGC
rnacentral:tRNA from 1 species